CUACGAAAGGUGCAAGCGUUGUUCGGAUUUACUGGGCGUAAAGAGAGUGUAGGUUGUUUAUUAAGUCGGAUGUGAAAUCCCGGGGCUCAACCUCGGAACUGCAUUCGAUACUGGUAGACUAGAGUUCGGGAGGGGUAAGCGGAAUUCCGUGUGUAGCAGUGAAAUGCGUAGAUAUACGGAGGAACACCUGAGGCGAAGGCGGCUUACUGGACCGAUACUGACACUGAGACUCGAAAGCGUGGGUAGCAAACAGGAUUAGAAACCCUAGUAGUCC
rnacentral:rRNA from 1 species